GAAAUAAAGCGGGGAGUGACAGCAAUGAAGCAGGUAGUCAGCGAGUUGAGGCAGUUAAAAGACUUGACGUGUGCAUGUGAUGUGAUGAUGCAGUUACAGAAUAGCGUGACGUGUGCAAACGAUGCAGUGAUGCAGGUACUCAGAGACGUGAAGAGUGCACAUGAAGUGUUUUGCUGCCCAUUCGGAUUGUGCAAGGC